AUUGAACGCUGGCGGCAUGCCUUACACAUGCAAGUCGAACGGCAGCGGGGGAGAAGCUUGCUUUUCCUGCCGGCGAGUGGCGAACGGGUGAGUAAUACAUCGGAACGUGCCCUGUAGUGGGGGAUAACUAGUCGAAAGAUUAGCUAAUACCGCAUACGACCUGAGGGUGAAAGUGGGGGACCGCAAGGCCUCAUGCUAUAGGAGCGGCCGAUGUCUGAUUAGCUAGUUGGUGGGGUAAAGGCCUACCAAGGCGACGAUCAGUAGCUGGUCUGAGAGGACGAUCAGCCACACUGGGACUGAGACACGGCCCAGACUCCUACGGGAGGCAGCAGUGGGGAAUUUUGGACAAUGGGCGAAAGCCUGAUCCAGCAAUGCCGCGUGUGUGAAGAAGGCCUUCGGGUUGUAAAGCACUUUUGUCAGGAAGGAAAUGGCUCUGGUUAAUACCUGGGGUCGAUGACGGUACCGGAAGAAUAAGGACCGGCUAACUACGUGCCAGCCGCCGCGGUAA
rnacentral:rRNA from 1 species